GUACUUGUCAUGGCAGCACAUAUACUAAAAUAGGAAAGAUGAAGAGAAUAUUAGUAUGACCCCUGCACAAGGAUAACAUGCAAAUUUGUGAUGUGUUUCAUAUUUUU
rnacentral:snRNA from 1 species